rnacentral:rRNA from 1 species
GACGAACGCUGGCGGCGUGCUUAACACAUGCAAGUCGAACGGAAAGGCCCUGCUUUUGUGGGGUGCUCGAGUGGCGAACGGGUGAGUAACACGUGAGUAACCUGCCCUUGACUUUGGGAUAACUUCAGGAAACUGGGGCUAAUACCGGAUAGGAGCUCCUGCUGCAUGGUGGGGGUGGGAAAGUUUCGGCGGUUGGGGAUGGACUCGCGGCUUAUCAGCGUGGUGGUGGGGUAGUGGCUUACCAAGGCUUUGACGGGUAGCCGGCCUGAGAGGGUGACCAGCCACACUGGGACUGGGGCACGGACCGGGCUCCUAUGGGAGGCAGCAGUGAGGAAUAUGCAGCAAUGGGGGAUGGCCUAACGGGGCAAUGCGGCGUGGAGGUAGAAGGCCCACGGGUCGUGAACUUCUUUUCCCGGCGAAGAAGCAAUGACGGUAUCUGGGGAAUAAGCACCGGCUAACUCUGUG